CUCAUUGGGUGCGUGAGAAGGGAAGGGUGGAUCCUAAAAGAAUUCAGAAAGGCAAGAGACCACCUUACUGAGCUUCAAACUGGGGCUGGGAACGCUGCCAUGAAUUGGGCUUGGUCUGUCUGAAGGGAGCCACCUUUUCGACAAUCCUUAGACUUCUUUUGCCUGUUGGAAUUACACCUUGGAUCGUGGCGAAGUCUAUAGAGGUCAGAUUAAGAAGAACCAAAGCAGAAUAAACGUAGAACCCGAUGCUGAGUUCACGAGUGAGGACGACCUCUUCCUAUAUGCUUUGCUAUACCCUGCGUUUUGAACAUUAAGGACGAGAUAGGAGGCCCAUAAUGUUUCUUCUUGCUUUAAUCCUGUCGUGGCAACGUUGACUUCCACCUGGUUGCAGAGUGAGCCCAUGGGACAGCCCUCUGAAAUUAUACUGCUUACAACCAUGCUGAGUCUGCAAGGACUUCGUCCAAGCCUUUCCGUCCAGGACCUCAAACAGAUCCAAUCACAAGAAGAGAGAUUUCAGGAAAGAGAAAAUUAUUCCUAUCAUCGGGGUUUUUGAAGAACAUGAAAUGACUGGGAAAAUAAUCAUGUUAAGUGGAAAAAAAAAAGAAAUCUAUCUGUUGUAAUUUUCAAAUAAUUUUUAAAUAAAUUUGAAAAAUUAAGAGAACUAUAUAUAUAAUACAUUCCUAAUCUUGUGAAAAAUAUAUAUGCAUUAAUAUUAUUGAAAGAAAUAUAUCAAAAGGUGAACAGCAAUUAUCACCAAUCUAGAUUAUGAGAUUAGGAGUGAUUUUUUUUCUUUGUCCUAUACUAUUUAAUAUUUUCUACCAUUAAAAUAUUCUGAUUUUCUAAUUAGAAUAGUACGUUAGACAAAGAAGGACAAAUAUCACAUGAACUCUCACUCUCUUAUGGAACAGAUCUUGUGGAAUCUAAAAAAGUUGAACUCAUAGAAAAAGAGGAAAAUGAUGGUUACCAGUUAGAAAAAAGGAAUAAGUUCAAGAGAUCUAUUGUACACCAUGGUCAAUAUAGUUAACAAUAUAUUUUAUACUUUAAAAUUGCUAAGGUAGUAGAUUUUAAGUGUUCUCACCACACAAAAAAAUAAGUAUGUGAAAAGCAUAUGGUAAUUAGCUUGAUUUAACCACGCCACAGUGCAUACAUAUGUCAAAACAUCAUGUUGUAUACUAUAAAUAUAUACACUUUUUGUCAAUUUUAAACAGGUUAUAAAAAAACAUGUUAUUGUUGAUAAUUAUGAAAAAUUUUAAUGAUGUGGAAAUGUGUACAGUAUAAUGAUAAAUGAAAGAGUAGUAAAAAUCCUUAUAAAAUAUAAUUACAAAUGUGUUGGGUGGAUAAUAUAAAAAUCUUAACAGCUAUUUCUGAGCUAAGUGGUGGAGCAUGGGUAAUUUUUAGUGCCUUCUGUGUCAGGCUGUUCUUGCAUUGCUAUGAAGAAAUACCUGGCCAGGCGCGGUGGCUCACGCCUAUAAUCCCGGCACUUUGGGAGGCCAAGGCGGGUGGAUCACCUGAGGUCAGGAGUUCGAGACCAGCCUGGCCAACAUGGUGAAACCCCGUCUCUACUAAAAAUACAAAAAUUAGCCAGGUAAGGUGGUGCGUGCCUGUAGUUCCAGCUGCUGGGGAGGCUGAGGCAGGAGAAUCGUUUGAACCCAGGAGGCGGAGGUUGCAGUGAGCUGAGAUAGCCUGGGUAACAGACCAAGACUCUGUCUCAAAAAAAAUAAAAAUAAAAAUAAAAAAGAAAUACCUGAGAAAAGGUAAUUUAUAAAGGAAAGAGGUUUAAUUGGCUUGCGAUUCUUCAAGUUUUACAUGAAGCAUGGCAGCAUCUGAUUUUAGGGAGGCCUCAGGAAGCUUCCAAUCCUGGCAUAAAGCAACGAGGAGCAGGUACGUCACAUGGCGAAAGCAGUAACAAGAGAGAGAGUAACGGGGGAGGUGCCACACCCUUUUAAACAAUCACAUCUCAUGAGAACUCACUAUCCUGAAGACAGCACCAAGGGGAUAGUGCUAAACCAUGCAUGAAAAAUCCGCCCCCAUGAUCCAAUCGCCUCCCACCAGGCCCCACCUCCCACAUUGGGGAUUACAAUUCAACAAGAGAUUGGGGCGGGGACAGACGGCCAAACUAUGUCACCUUCAUUUUACUUUUCUUUUUCCUACAGCAAAAAUAACCAUGUGAUAUUUGUGUAAUUGUAAUAAAGAACUACAAAAUCACUUUUAUCUUUUUAAAUACAAAAUUCAAACUAAAAUCAUUAUUGUUAGUUGGAGAGAUGGUGGAGGAAGGAAAACAGAAGCUGAGGAUGACACUACUAAUAAGUAACAAUAAUGACAAUGACUCCUGUUACUUAACGGCUUGCUUAGGUUCACAGUCUUUUUUAUUUGCUAGACGCUUUAACGGCUUCUUCCAAGCAAACAAAAGUCUUGGAAUCCAAACAGUCCCUUUACUCCUCACCCCUCAUACCUCAUGGAGGGAAAUUCUUGGUUAUGUGCAGACACAUAUGUGGACUAAGUUAGCAUGGCUGUGGCACCCCUUACCUGACACGGAUUUAGACUUUAGCUUUUCAAACGUUUUGGUCUGUAUUUAUUUAUUUAUUGAGACGGAGGCUCACACUGUCACCCAGGCUGGAGUGCAGUGGCGCCAUCUCCGCUCACUGCAACCUCCGCCUUCCCAGGUUCAAGCGAUUGUCCUGCCUCAACCUCCCGAGUGGCUGGAAUUACAGGCGCCCACCCACCACACCCAGCUAAUUUUUCUAUUUUUAGUAGAGACGGGGUUUCACCAUGUGGUCUCGAACUCUUGACCUCAGCUGAUCUGCCCGCCUCGGCCUCCCAAAGUGCUGGGAUUACAGGCGUGAGCCACAGCGCCCGGCAAACCUUGGUCUUUAAAUCACGUUGGCAAGACUGAACUCAAACGUAAGCUCUCUGUUUUGGUUUUGAGAGUUGUGCCUUCUUAUCUAAAACAGUAACAAUUUAAAUAUUUUUGUUAUUUAAACAAACCAAUAAGAUCUGAGGAAUGAGCAACCGUCACAGUUGUCUGAAUAACACAUUGCACGGUAGUGGUGGCUGUUUCAUAACGGACUUGGCACAGCAGUGCCCUCUUAGAGACAAAGGUGGACCAUUGCGCCGCCGUGUGGUAUUGAGGGGUAUGGCGCCUUCUUCCUUUUAUAAUUACGCUUUUUCUAGUUAAGAACUAGAAUAACCUUCGCGGUCGCUGGGUGGAGCCCUUUCAAUUUGUUGUGUGGGCUAACUAAGUGUGGAAACUAAGACUCAGGCAAGUGAUGUUACUGGGGCUUGAACCCAAAUCUUCACCCUUUGUGCUCCCAGCUUUUCAAGUUAACUCAGGGAUGUCUGCACAUAGCUGGAGGGAAACGGAGCUGUCUUAUGCAAAACUCAAUUUCACAUUCAAAGAAACUGAAGUGUAGAGAGGAUAAGUGACUUGCUAAAAGGUCUGCGCUAAUUUGGGGUCCUUCGUUUUUUAUUCUACUCAUUCGUUUAUUCACCAAAUAUUUAUACACGUGUCUACUACAUGUCAGGCACCAUUCAAGGCACUAGAGAUAAAAUAGUGAACACAGCAAACAAAAAUCCCUUCCUGCAAAAAUCCCUUCAUCUCUUCCCUUCAUAAAGCUCAUGUUCUAAUGGGGGAAACAAAGUAAGCAACUAAAAUAUAUAAUACCAGAUUAGAGAGGGGUAAAUGCAAAGAAGAAAUAAAAGGGAAGGGGGAUACGAAAUGUUAGGAGGGGCUACUUUUCUGAGUGGCCAGAGAAAACCUCCUUGAUAAGGUGACUGGUGACUUUUUUUUUUUUUUUUUUGAGAUAGAGUCUCACUCUGUGGCCCAGGCUGCAGUGCAAUGUCAUGAUCUCAGCUCACUGCAACCUCUGCCUGCCAGUUCAAGUGAUUUUCCUUCCUCAGCCACCACGUAGCUGAGACUACAGGCACAUGCCACCAUGCCCAGCUAAUUUUUGUAUUUUUAG
rnacentral:lncRNA from 1 species